AUUGAUAAAUCAAAACCUCAACCUGAAUUAAUUGUGAUAUUUUUACGCUGAUGUAAAAGUUCUUAUUUAAUGAACUUCAUUUGAGAGUUGACUGUCUAACAUAGGGGUGUCAUUUUAUUUUUAGUUUCCUCCACCGUAGUUUAGUGUGUUUAUUUUCACCAUGGAGUCUGUGUGCGGUGAACGGGUGAACAAAAUCCCACCGACAGAAUGAACACAACACACCGACUGUCUCUCUCACUCGCUCUCUUCCUUACCGUCUCCUGCUCCUGGAGAUAAAUUAACGCCAAGCAGCCGAUACCGGAGGUUUGUGAGCCUCUAACGGAGAGAGAGUCGGUGUUGAGCUGAUUCUUGUCUCAUUUACAGUCUGAUUAACAGUAAAUUUCAUCUAAACUGAGUUGAAAAACGAUGACAUCUAGUUGCCGUGGUGAUGAAUUACAUCUGACUAUUAACCACCCCCCCAAUCUGUGUUUGAGGAAGAACGUAAACCAAAAAACAGGAAGUAAAACUGGCUGGAGGGGGACUUUAAUGACAUGAUAUGUGUAAAACAUUACAUGUCCCUUAUAAAUUAAAAAGAAAAUCCCACUAA